rnacentral:rRNA from 1 species
CAGUCGCCGCGGGAAUACGAAGGGGGCUAGCGUUGUUCGGAUUAACUGGGCGUAAAGGGCGCGUAGGCGGGUUUUUAAGUCAGAGGUGAAAUCCCAAGGCUCAACCUUGGAACUGCCUUUGAUACUGGAAGUCUUGAGUCCGGGAGAGGUGAGUGGAACUGCGAGUGUAGAGGUGAAAUUCGUAGAUAUUCGCAAGAACACCAGUGGCGAAGGCGGCUCACUGGCCCGGUACUGACGCUGAGGCGCGAAAGCGUGGGGAGCAAACAGGAUUAGAUACCCCUGUAGUCCCUGUCUCUUAUAC